GUGAAUCAUCGAAUCUUUGAACGCAAAUUGCACUCUCUUCGGAGAGUAUGCCUGUUUGAGGGUCAGUUUAAAUAAAAAUCGGUGUGGUUGCUGCCUUUCGUGGUGACGCACCGGAUGUGGGUCGUCUUGCUUUCGGUUAUGUGACCUAAACUUUUGCAUGAUUUUUUUCGAACGUAUUUAAAUGAUUUUACGUACGUUUGCGAUAUAGAAUACUAGGUGUGGUCAUCCUCAUGCUUCGUGCCUAUAAUUUCUCAU
rnacentral:misc_RNA from 1 species